AGGCAGCAGUGAGGAAUAUUGGUCAAUGGGCGCAAGCCUGAUCCAGCCAUGCCGCGUGAGUGAAGAAGGCCUUCGGGUUGUAAAGCUCUUUCGCAAGGGAAGAAAACGUGUGGGCUAAUAUCCUGCGCGGAUGACGGUACCUUGACAAGAAGCACCGGCUAACUACGUGCCAGCAGCCGCGGUAAUACGUAGGGUGCGAGCGUUGUUCGGACUUACUGGGCGUAAAGGGCGCGUAGGCGGCGCGGUAAGUCACUUGUGAAAUCUCUGAGCUUAACCUGGGAACUGCGCUUGUGACUGCACGGCUAGAGUACGGCAGAGGGGGGUGGAAUUCCUGGUGUAGCAGUGAAAUGCGUAGAUAUCAGGAGGAACACCGAUGGCGAAGGCAGCCCCCUGGGCCUGUACUGACGCUCAUGCACGAAAGCGUGGGGAGCAAACAGGAUUAGAUACCCCGGUAG
rnacentral:rRNA from 1 species